rnacentral:rRNA from 1 species
ACUCCUACGGGAGGCAGCAGUGGGGAAUAUUUGCACAAUGGGCGCAAGCCUGAUGCAGCCAUGCCGCGUGUGUGAAGAAGGCCUUCGGGUUGUAAAGCACUUUCAGUCGUGAGGAAGGUAGUGCAGUUAAUAGCUGCAUUAUUUGUACGUUAGCGACAGAAGAAGCACCGGCUAACUCCGUGCCAGCAGCCGCGGUAAUACGGAGGGUGCGAGCGUUAAUCGGAAUUACUGGGCGUAAAGCGCAUGCAGGUGGUUUGUUAAGUCAGAUGUGAAAGCCCGGGGCUCAACCUCGGAAUUGCAUUUGAAACUGGCAGACUAGAGUACUGUAGAGGGGGGUAGAAUUUCAGGUGUAGCGGUGAAAUGCGUAGAGAUCUGAAGGAAUACCGGUGGCGAAGGCGGCCCCCUGGACAGAUACUGACACUCAGAUGCGAAAGCGUGGGGAGCAAACAGGAUUAGAUACCCUGGUAGGAUAGCG